rnacentral:tRNA from 1 species
GGGAAUGUGGCUUAGUGGUAGAGUGCUUGCCUAGCAUGCAUGAAGCCCUAGGUUCGAUUCCUCAAUACCA